UGGCAUCCUGUGGAAAGUAAUCCUUUUCCAUAUCAGAAACACAAGAAACAGGGAGAGAAGAAAUAUCAACGUGGGAAGGUGCGACUGCAUUAUUAUUCACUUGCUGCCCAAAUUCUGCUCAGCACCUAUUGCACAAAAUGAAGCCAUCAGUUGCAAAGACCAGACACUCUGAAGAGGCACUGUAUAUAUGGAGGUACAAGGCCAGCCCCAUCUGUUCUGCUUGGUUACUUAUGGCACUGCCUCCAA
rnacentral:lncRNA from 1 species